rnacentral:lncRNA from 1 species
CCAAAAAAAAUAUGGGAUGCCUCUUCCUAUAUUUUUCAUCAGUAAAUCAGUUUUCUAAUUGAUCUUCCAUAAAAAAAUCUCUUCAAAAUGUCGCACAUAUAAGGAUAAAAAAUAAGUUGGCGUGGGGAGGUGAAUUGGAUAAGAACAGAUUCUCCUGAUAAAAAAUAUUUUAAAAUUUAAUUUCAAAUUUUUUUUUAUCAAAAUCAAAUUAGAUUUGGAAGUGACAU